CAGAAGGGUAAAAGUGAGAAAACUUGUGGGCUGACAGUUUAAUAGGUAAAGCAACAGCUGCUUUUGCAGACAGCUAGAGGCAAAGCAAAAGAAGGAAUUGAUUCCCCAUUUCCCAUGGACAAACGUGUUCAGUCACCUCAAGGAAAGCAGGGAUGCACCACACCUAAAGGUGACUUGGGAAGACAAAUUACUGAAUGUCUCCCCUUUCCUUCUUCUUCCCCCACUGUUACAUGCUGAACAUGUCACCAUACAGCAUGGGAUGAAGAACAACAUCCUUUGGCCAUUUGGCAUCAGCUGUCCCAGUUGUGCCCCCUCCCAACUCCUUGUGCACCCCCAGCCUGCUCACUGGUGGGGUGGGGUGAGAGGCAGAAAAGCUCCUGACUCUGUGACAUACACACUGUUAUGUGUGAACAGACUGAGAACAUAUUGUAGG